AGUGAACGCUGGCGGUAGGCCUAACACAUGCAAGUCGAACGGCAGCACAGUAAGAGCUUGCUCUUACGGGUGGCGAGUGGCGGACGGGUGAGGAAUACAUCGGAAUCUACUUUUUCGUGGGGGAUAACGUAGGGAAACUUACGCUAAUACCGCAUACGACCUACGGGUGAAAGCAGGGGAUCUUCGGACCUUGCUCGAUUGAAUGAGCCGAUGUCGGAUUAGCUAGUUGGCGGGGUAAAGGCCCACCAAGGCGACGAUCCGUAGCUGGUCUGAGAGGAUGAUCAGCCACACUGGAACUGAGACACGGUCCAGACUCCUACGGGAGGCAGCAGUGGGGAAUAUUGGACAAUGGGCGAAAGCCUGAUCCAGCCAUACCGCGUGGGUGAAGAAGGCCUUCGGGUUGUAAAGCCCUUUUGUUGGGAAAGAAAAGCAGCAGGUUAAUACCCCGCUGUUCUGACGGUACCCAAAGAAUAAGCACCGGCUAACUUCGUG
rnacentral:rRNA from 1 species